UUGACGAAGUAUUGAAUGUGCUUAAUCUUUACGAAAUUGAUUAUACUUAAAACGUUUUAUUAAUAUCUUCUACUAAGGCAAGCAUAAUCUAUCCGCAUUGAACUUAGUCAAGGAUAAUGCCUUUCCCAACCGAAUUUAAAAAUCAAUGAGAAUAACAAAUAUUGAAAUUUCAAUUGAUAUUGACAAUAGUAAUUACAGUUGUC